CCGGCGAACCGCGCAAUGCGCUUCUUCUGCCUGCAGCAGAGAAAAGGAAAGAAAACUCCGCAGGGGCUCCGUUGGCUUCUCCACGAGUGACAACCAUGUUUUCCCAGAUAGAAGACCGGAGCCCUGCUCCUUUGCGAUCCGCCGAGGGCUGCAGAGAGCAUCCUCAUCCAUUUGGGCACCCCUGCCCAGGAAGAGCCCGGCCAUCCCUUUCCGGACUGGAUCCUUAAGAGGUGAAUUUUCUUCCGUGGAUUCCGAUUUGCUCCGUCUGACCAGCCUAGGCAAUCCAGCAUCGCGUGGUACCAGUGCCGCUGGGCACACUGGCUUCACGCCGGCUCCGCCUCACCAGCAAGCGCAUUCCCAGUUACUAUUGUUAUCUCAAUGUACAGAGGAGAAAAUGAGACACUGAGUGGGACUCAGGGAUUGCUCCAGGCCACACAGUCAGCAGGAGGCAAAGCCCAGAUUCAAAUGCAGAUUACUCAGCUCCACAAUCCACAUCCUCACAGGAGGCUGCACUCCUUGCCCAAGCGUCAGACAGGAGCAAAGAGAAAGAAGGCAACCAGCUGGCUACUUUCUUCCCUUCUUGGAUGCCUCCAACAGGAUGCUGAACUCCUUACCCCAGUGUGAGGGUAUUUGGAGGUGGGACCUUUGGGAGAUUCGGUCUUCAUAAAUGGGAUUAGUGCCCUUAUAAAAGAAAUCACAGAGAGCUUCCUCUCUCCUUCUACCAUGUAAGGAUGCAGCAAGAAGACACCAUGAACCAGGAAAUAAAACACUAACUCAGAGAAGAAAUUUAACUGCAAAUUUGGUUAAUGACCAUGGAUUCCUAAUGAGAAGAAAAGCUAGACACUGAGAGUUUAGAAUAAACUCAAGAAUCUUAAAAAUUUUCCCAUGGAACUGCCUUUGCACCUCUAUAAAAAAUUAAUUGACCAUAUGGUAAGUAACAUGUGAGUUUACAUUGAGGAUAGAUGAGCCUUUGGACAAAAUUAGAGUGAUUUAAUUUUACAAUAAAAACAACUCUAUGUC
rnacentral:lncRNA from 1 species